ensembl:lncRNA
ACACACACACACACACACACACACGCGCGCGCGCGCGCGCGCGCCUGCUGCCUGCUCCCCGCCCCUCCCUGCAGGGCACGUGCUAUACCAGCCUUUAAAUCCAGGUCCUCUCUGUGCACUGUGGUGCCAAGUCAGACAGGGAGGCUGUGCCCAAGGACAAGGGCUCUCAGCACCACUGAGAGGCUCACCUGGUCCCCAAUCCUUCCAUCUCUGGAAAAGCCGCACGUCACUCGUGGCCCGGGGCAUCCCUGGGGGCUCCAUCUACCAGGCAGGUGCAGGAUACAGAGAACCCAGGGGUGGAGAUACUGCUGGGCUCAUCUUUCUCAGAGGCUGGUUCUUUUUCUUUUUUUAAUCUCUGCUCCUCUCCAUAGAAGGUGAGGCUUCCAGCAUCUGGGGUGACUCUGAGGGUCACUUUGGCGUCUGCAUGGUAUACUGCUUGCUUAUUUCUCCUCGUCCAUAGUUCUCUGGCUAUAAAGCAGGGCAGGAAGGCCAGAGCGUUAGGAGUACACAGGAUGGCGUGACUUGCUCUCCCUGCCCCUAACCUGGGCCAUCAUCCCUCGGACUGCAGAGGGCUUCUGUACAACCAUGUUCCUUCUCUGAGUGAUGUCUGGAGGGCAGCAGCUUCAGCACCACCAGGGAGCUUGAUCCAUCUGCAGAAUUUCAAGCCCUACCCCAGACUUCCCGAAUCAGAAUCUCGUUUUAGUAGGAUCCCCAGGUGGUUCAGCGAGCCGAGUGGUGGGCCCCAGGGCUGGGUUCUGGCUGAGUGGUGUUACACUCAGGUGUGAGCAGUCCCGGGGCGGGAGGGUCCAGGGCCCUUGGUGAUGUGGAAGGCAAGCCCUUGAGAAUGUUCGCAGGCUCAGUGUAUUUACGGGAUAUCAAUGUGUCAGAGCAGCAACCUCUUUAUGGGGAUAGUUUAAUUAACACUAAUUGCUCUUGGCCUAUUGUGUGACUGGAGCAGGAUUUACAGAACAUCACCGUAAUCUAAAACCCUAUAAAAGUCAUUGUCUUUAGAGGCCUUGUAACUCAUGCCUGGAAACAUCUUUGGAUCUUUGAUGCAUCACCCUGAUUGUGAAUGCUGCCUGUAUUUGCAUAAUUCUCAGAGGCCAGUGGAUGUAUAAAGUUGUUUCCACAUUGCUAGGACCCCCAUCGCUCCUCCUCUGAGUGCCUGCAGGUUAGGGAGAGGAAGGGGCAGGCUUGAGAUCACGGUGACCAUGAUCCAUGAAGAACCCUGGCACCAUCAGAGGAAGCUCACGGGACACUUGCCAGUGACACGGACCUCUGCAGCCACCACUAACAGGGGAGGAAAGAAGGCAGCGUUGAGCGGGGGGGCCUGCCUGCCUGUGCCAAACCCACGUCUGAGAUCACAAGCAUUGGAGAAAAAGAACAAGUCUGUCUUGUCAACAUUGACCUUUGGCCACCUUGCCCCCUUGCUCACCACCCGCCUUGACCUUUCCUCUUAAUCUCUCCAUUUCCUUUCGUUUGAAAGGGAUGUAGUCCUUGCAAUCUGUGGAUGAAUUGACAGAGAUUCAGUGAUUCCCAGAAGAGAGAGAGAGAAACAUGCCUCCCUUCCUCCCACAUUUAUUAGCGAGCAUUUGCCUCGCCUCAAGCCCAGAGCUGGAUGCUGGGGGACAAAGCUGCCCAAGCAGAGAUGAUUCCUGGCCUCCGGGAGCAAACAUGCCAGCGGGCUCAUCCCUUAGUGGAACAACACAAAACAGACAAGAAGGAGGCAGCAUUGAAUGUGAAAUC